UCUCUUGGCCCCCCUCCUCCCUGCUAGGUUGCGACCCUGACCGGGCACUGUAUGAGGGUACUUUAUCUCGCAGUGUCGCCCGAUGGCCAGACUAUAGUGACAGGAGCAGGGGAUGAGACGCUACGCUUUUGGAACGUCUUCCCGUCUGUGAAAGCUCAGACACCGGUGAAAGACACAGGUCUCUGGUCGCUAGGCAGGACGCAGAUCCGGUGAUAUAUAUGUAGCAAGUGAACAUCCUUUCUCACUGUAAAUAUAACACGUGAAUUAUUGGAAAUAUUUUUCUAUUAUUGAUGAUCGAAUGAUACAAUAGAAUAUUUUAUGUAUAAUAUGUAGGAUAAAUCAUAGCAAUAUUAAUGAUAAUAUUGUAGGAAUAAUAUA